rnacentral:rRNA from 1 species
UUCCGGUUGAUCCUGCCGGACCUGACUGCUAUCGGAUUGAUACUAAGCCAUGUGAGUCAUUGUAGUAAUACAAGGCAGACGGCUCAGUAACACGUAGUCAAUCUACCCUAUGGACGGGGAUAACCUCGGGAAACUGAGGAUAACACCCGAUAGAUCAUAAUGCCUGGAACGGUUUAUGGUCCAAAUGAUUCGUCGCCGUAGGAUGGGGCUGCGGCCUAUCAGCUUGUUGGUGAGGUAAUGGCCCACCAAGGCUAUUACAGGUACGGGCUCUGAGAGGAGAAGCCCGGAGAUGGGUACUGAGACACGGACCCAGGCCCUAUGGGGCGCAGCAGGCGAGAAAACUUUGCAAUGUGCGCAAGCACGACAAGGUUAAUCCGAGUGUUUCCUGUUAAAGGAAUCUUUUGUUAGUUGUAAAACCACUAUCGAAUAAGGGGUGGGCAAGUUCUGGUGUCAGCCGCCGCGGUAAAACCAGCACCUCAAGUGGUCAGGAGGAUUAUUGGGCCUAAAGCAUCCGUAGCCUGUUCUAUAAGUUUCCGGUUAAAUCCAUUAGCUCAACUAAUGGGCCGCCGAAAAUACUGUAGAACUAGGGAGUGGGAGAGGUAGACGGUAUUCGGUAGGAAGGGGUAAAAUCCUUUGAUCUAUUGAGGACCACCUGUGGCGAAGGCGGUCUACCAGAACACGUUCGACGGUGAGGGAUGAAAGCUGGGGAGCAAACCGGAUUAGAUACCCGGGUAGUCCCAGCUGUAAACGAUGCAGACUCGGUGAUGCGUUGGCUUGUGGCCAGUGCAGUGCCGCAGGGAAGCCGUUAAGUUUGCCGCCUGGAAGUACGUACGCAAGUAUGAAACUUAAAGGAAUUGGCGGGGAGCACCACAGGGUGAAGCCUGCGUUCAAUUGGAAUCAACGCGGA